rnacentral:rRNA from 1 species
CGGAUAGCGAUGUCGCGCGGGGAUAACCGCUGAAUGCAUCUAAGUGGGAAACCCUCCCCAAGAUGAACACUCCCGAGCCGUAAGGCUCCUGAAGGGCCCUGGGAGACUACCAGGUUGAUAGGCGGCAGGUGUAAGGCGCGCGAGCGCUUCAGCCGAGCCGUACUAAUUGCCCGUGAGGCUUGAUCUCUCC